rnacentral:lncRNA from 1 species
AAAGAUUGAGCAAUGUGGUGUACACCAAUCGUCCAAUUCUUUCGAGGAAUAAUAAGGCGAACGCCUUCUAUCCCUUUUUCGUUCGAAUUAUUUUGAAAGUUAUGUUUGUGGAUGUAGAAUACGCACGGUAGUGAGGCGUAUGCCUCCUACUUGCUUAUUCAAAGAAUAAUGAGGCAUACGCCCCUUAUUCCUUUAUCCAAGUUUAUUUAACGUGUUUUAGUCGAAAGUCGAUAAUUUGUGCAAUAUGGC